ACCUUAUCGACAACGCCAUCAGCAAGAAACCACAGGUCGUGCAGAUCGAUCCGACCGACAAGGCGUUCAAGACCGACGGCUGCCAGCCCUGGCAGCUGACUCCCGACGCCGUCGUGCCCCCCACUACACCGCCCCCGGGUGUGGCAGGCACCCUCGGCAUCCUGAACGGGCUGCUCGGCGGGAAUAGCCCGCC
rnacentral:ncRNA from 1 species